UACGUAGGGGGCAAGCGUUAUCCGGAUUUACUGGGUGUAAAGGGAGCGUAGACGGCUGCGCAAGUCAGAUGUGAAAGCUCGGGGCUCAACUCCGGAACUGCAUUUGAAACUGUGCUGCUUGAGUGCCGGAGAGGUAAGCGGAAUUCCUAGUGUAGCGGUGAAAUGCGUAGAUAUUAGGAAGAACACCAGUGGCGAAGGCGGCUUACUGGACGGUAACUGACGUUGAGGCUCGAAAGCGUGGGGAG
rnacentral:rRNA from 1 species